rnacentral:lncRNA from 1 species
CCCCCCCCCCCCCCCCCCCCCCCCCCCCCCCCCCCCCCCCCCCCCCCCCCCCCCCCCCCCCCCCCCCCCCCCCCCCCCCCCCCCCCCCCCCCCCCCCCCCCCCCCCCGCGGGGGGGCCGGGGCGGGGCGGCAGCCGCAAGGGGAGGGAAACAGGUGAGUCCGGCUCUCCCGAGAGUGCUCGGUGCUUUGCCUUGCGGUUUCCUAGACAGUCGUACUAUAAAAAAUACGGCUGUGGUGAGUAUAACAGAUAACCUGAACAAUUUGUUUGAAUAGCCUAAUUGAAAGAGAGGAAAUGUAGGUUACAUAUGAGGAAGAAAUUCUUUACUGUGAGGGUAGCGAGGUACUGACACAGGUUGCAUAGAGAGGCUGCAGAUGUCCCGUUCCUGGAAGCAUUGAAGGUCUAGUGAGAGGCAUCCCUGUCCGUGGCAGGGGGCUGGAACGAAAUGUUUCUUGAGAUCUAUUCCAAUCCCUUAACGUUCUGUAAUUCUGUAAGAAUUAAUGUGGGUGUAUUACUCAGACUUUACCCCAGUGAACCUCUCCUGUCCUCUCCUCUCCCUACAGAAAUCUUCCACUUCUAAUCACAAAUUUUAAAUAGUCUUGGGAUGAUACGGAUUUAUCCUCUCAUUUUAUUCUCAGCAGCUCUCAAAUUUGAACUGUGUAAACACUUGCAUCAAUUUCUGCAGCCUUAACUGAGGUACAUUCACUGUAAUUCUACAUUCUAUGUGCAUUUCCAUAACACCUUUUCUCACCUAUAUCAGCGUUUAGAGGGAAGUUGUUUUUUAUUUUGACACAGUAAUAGGAAUAGAAAAACACAAAUAUAAAGGGCUGACAGCAAACUGAUAAACUUGGCACAAACUCUAAUAUAAAAAAUAAAUCUUUGAGAUGGCACAGUUGAUGGAAGUAUUAGCAUAAGGACAAACAAGAGAGGAAACAUUUUGCUCAGAUGUCUCACAUUUGUAUUUCCACGGGAGGAUUUUUCUGUACCCUUGAAUUGUGAAGGUUGUUCAAGACAGUCUCAGAAUGACAAGUCCGUGCUCAGUGGGGACACUGCAAUACUUCACAACACGUAGAGCAUCGGGACAAAUCGGUGACCUAAAAUAAAACUCUGAAAGUAAGUAAAUUAUUUUGUGCAAGGAAAAAAUGUGUAUCUGGUUAGGGGACGAAGGAAACCAGAGUGAAACACUAAAGGUAGAUUAGUUUUCUGCGAGGAGAAGCCAUAUAACCGGUAAGGGGACAAAGGCCAGCAGCCCGUGCGCUAUCUGCGUGUCCCGCUGCGGUGACGGCCCCGCAGCCGCGGCCCCGGGCGCGCCGGAAGCGCCGGGGAGGCCCCGCCCCGUGCGGCCCCCCCCCCCCCCCCC